GGUGGGUUCCUGCCCCAAGGCGGAGGCUGGUCCAGGAACGGUUGCUGAUGGAGAGCCGGGGAGUGAUCCUUCGCUGGAAAACGGUGACCCCUAAGGUUAAGGAUCUAACAGCACUCGGAGGAAAGAGAGUCGCAUGUGCCAGAGGGCUGAGGGUUCCUGCAGAUGUUCCACACAGGGGCGUCCGAGGUUCCCCAGAACAGACAGCUAGAGGUCGAAACCAGGGCACAACGAAAUUGCUCCUACACAGAAUCGCUGAGGUCUGCAAGGGAGAAGUUGCAGCAGCAGUGGCUGAAGCGAGAGCUGUGUCUGAUGAGACUGGAAGUGGUUCACCAUCCAGACCUGUGAAGGGGUGCAUUUUACCUACUUCCGUGCUAAAAGCUGGGCUGUCGCAGGUUCAUGGAAGCAGGCAGAAGACAUGAGACGGCUGGGUCGGAGACAAAGGAUUUCAUUACCUACGGCACAGCCAGCCUGAGCUGCAGGUUCCUGCUUCCCCAAGUCCCACAGGGACAACAAAGAGGUGGGUUCAAGGGCGUGUGGCACACACAGUGUGAGAACAGCUGAGGAGUUUGAGCCCAAGAAUCUUCCUCUCUCUCUCUCUUUCUUUCUCUCUCUCUUUCUUUCUUUCUUUUCUUUCUCUUUCUUCCUUUAUCUCUCUCUCUUUCUUUCUUUCUUUCUUUCUUCCUUCCUUCCUUCCUUCCUUUAUCUCUCUCUUUCUUUCUUUCUUUAUCUCUCUCUUUCUUUCUUUUCUUUUCUUCCUUCAUUCCUUUCUCUUUCUCUUUCUUUCUUUCUUUUUCUUUCUUUCUUUCCUUCCUUCCUUCCUUCCUUCAUCUCUCUCUCUUUCUUUCUUUUCUUUCUUUCUUUCUUUCUUUCUUUCUUUCUUUCUUACUUUCUUUCUUUCUUUCUGUGUGUGAUGGCCACAAGCAAACCUGCUCAAGCAUUUCCCUGGUAAAAGACAUUAUCUUUAUUAAUGCUCAGAAAACAACCCCCCCAAAAAACAACAAAAACAAAAACAAAAAACCUGCCCUCCUCUCCAGAGAAAAAUACUUCCAAAGCUGUGUGCUAGAUAAAUACCCUUAAAAAAUAGUCUAGAACUACUCAGUGAUUCUACUCACGAGAUAUAAACGAAAGUGAGAGAUCAGCAGAAAAUUAUCUCCCAACAUGGACUAGAGGCGUUCCAUACAUAGGAUGUUUAGCAGGUAAGUAACAGCAACGUUGAGAGUCUUUAGAGACUGGUCACUUCACUUAAUGAGAUAAUCUCUGCCGAGCCUCUUG
rnacentral:lncRNA from 1 species